rnacentral:rRNA from 1 species
UACGAAGGGGGCUAGCGUUGCUCGGAAUCGCUGGGCGUAAAGCGCACGUAGGCGGAUUGCUAAGUCAGGGGUGAAAUCCUGGAGCUCAACUCCAGAACUGCCUUUGAUACUGGCGAUCUCGAGUCCGGGAGAGGUGAGUGGAACUGCGAGUGUAGAGGUGAAAUUCGUAGAUAUUCGCAAGAACACCAGUGGCGAAGGCGGCUCACUGGCCCGGUACUGACGCUGAGGUGCGAAAGCGUGGGGAGCAAACAGG